CUACAAGAUAUUGCGAUAUCUCUAACGGUAAAGACAUAACCAUUCGAGAUUUUGCCUUGUGCGAGUUUGAUAAGUAACCAGCGUCAGUAUAACAAACAAGGCAAGCAUCAUUUCAAGGAUCAGGGGGUUAGAUCUGCUCAAGAUGCGUUGGGAUUUGCCCACGUAAUACCUUCAGGGUACGUCUUUAAUACCAAUUCAGUGGUUGCGUAUAGGCGCGGUGCUGCAUCUUUACCAAGAUCAACAGCGAAGGAGAUGUCCUGUCUAAAUACAAUGAGCUAAGUACAACGAAGUGCAAAGUUGAACUUUUAGAUAUGGAAUUUCGGAUUCCAUAGACUCUUCAAGAGUCUCAUUUGCAUAUAACGUAUGGACGAUCAUGGGUAUACUCAAAGGUGACACAU
rnacentral:lncRNA from 1 species